rnacentral:misc_RNA from 1 species
UCCAACUUCGCUGCUUCGUUCUCUUCGUUGUCGGACGCCAUAGUGAACGUUUCAGUUUGCGAAGGAGUGAAUCGGGUUCGUUCGCGAAAAAGUUCGUUUUUUUCUUCAAACGAGCAUAUAUUUAAUUUGAGCGAACGAUGGCAGGAGCCGAAUCACCAAAUGUAAAACAAGAAUCGCAGAAUACGUCUGCAGAAAAUAGUAAUGAAAAUCCACGAGAACGAAAUCCACCCGGCGGUGGUGGUGGCGGUAAUCGUGGACCGCGUGGACGAAAAGGAGGAACACGUUUUUCUGGUGGACGUGGUGGCGGAAAAAUAAUGAUGGACCGAUGAAAAUGAGUGAUUCUAUGGAUGGAGGUAUGGACAAUACAAUGAAUGAAGGAAUGGGUGGAGGAAUGGGUAUGGGACGUGGUGGUGGAAUGCGUGGUGGUAGAGGUGGCCGUGGAGGGACUGAUAGAAACAUGGGAAACCGUUCACAAGAUGAUCGUUUAAUGGAACGUAUUAUGGCCAUUAGUGGCCCUACACAUGAAUUACCAUCUCAAGAAACUACAGAAAAAAAAUUCAGUGGUCGCAAUCGUUUAUAUAUUGGAAAUUUAACAAAUGAUGUUACAGAAGAAGAAAUCCAGCAGAUGUUUCAACAAUAUGGUGAAAUAUCUGAACUUUUUGUUAAUAAAGAGAAAAACUUUGCAUUUCUUAGAAUGGAUUAUAGAGUAAAUGCUGAGAAAGCAAAACAUGAAUUAGAUGGUACAAUGCGUAAAGGUCGUGCACUCAAAGUACGUUUUGCUCCUCAUUCUUCAACAAUUAAAGUUAAAAAUCUUACACCUUGGAUUUCAAAUGAAUUACUCGAAAGAGCAUUCAGUGUUUUUGGUGAAAUCGAACGUGCGAUAGUUAUAGUGGAUGACAGAGGAAAAUCUACUGGAGAAGGAAUCGUAGAAUUUUGCAGAAAACCAUCAGCCCAACUCGCUCUACGAAAAUGUACGGAAGGAUGCUAUUUCUUAACUGCCUCUUUACGACCAGUGGUUGUUGAACCAUUUGAACAACAAGAUGAUAUUGAUGGUUAUCCAGAUAAAAAUUUACCACGAAAAAAUCCAGAAUUCUUUAAAGCUCGUGAUAUUGGACCAAGAUUUGCACAGAUAGGAAGUUUUGAACAUGAAUAUGGAACAAGAUGGAAACAACUCCAUGAAUUAUAUAAACAAAAAGAAGAAGCACUGAAACGAGAAAUGGCAAUGGAAGAAGAAAAAUUGGAAGCUCAAAUGGAAUUUGCACGUUAUGAGCAUGAAACUGAAUUGUUACGAGAACAAUUGCGCAUGCGUGAGGCUGACCGUGAAAGACAGAAGAGAGAAUGGGAAAUGAAAGAAAGACAGGCUGAAGAACAAAGAACACGUGAAGAAGAAUUACGAAGACGACAACAAGAAGAAAUGGCAAUGCGUAUAAGGAGACAAGAUGAGGAAUUACACAGGCGUCAACAGGAAAAUAAUUUAUUUAUGCAGGGUUAUGUUCCCUUUAUAUUUAAGGAGCAAGCAAUGAGAAGAGGAGGUGGAGGAGGAAUGGGAGGAAAGAAUUAUGAUUCUGUUAGUAAUAGUGAUCGCGACGGAUAUGGUCAACCUGAUGGUGGAAGCAGCAUGCCAGUGAUAUUUAUAGCAACUGCUGGCUGAGGAAACGAAUAAAACACAUUGAAAAAUAAAAAGAUCAUUUAUUGCAUUUAUUUCAGUAUUCCAUAUGUACUCAAGAUACAAACAAAGAAAAGGAAUGUAUACAAAGAAAUUUUAAAAUUAUAAGGUGGAAAAUCUAUACAUUGAAAA